GCCUUUGUGGUGUAAUUGGGAGCGUACUCGGCGCGUAACCGAGAGGUCCGUGGUUCGAUUCCCGGCGAAGGUU
rnacentral:tRNA from 1 species